UGGGACCCUAGUGGCGGACGGGUGAGUAACGCGUGGGUAACCUGCCCCAUACCGGGGGAUAACACUUAGAAAUAGGUGCUAAUACCGCAUAAGCGCACGGUACUGCAUGGUACAGUGUGAAAAACUCCGGUGGUAUGGGAUGGACCCGCGUCUGAUUAGCUUGUUGGCGGGGUAACGGCCCACCAAGGCGACGAUCAGUAGCCGGCCUGAGAGGGCGGACGGCCACAUUGGGACUGAGACACGGCCCAAACUCCUACGGAAGGCAGCAG
rnacentral:rRNA from 1 species